CCCCUUUAAAAAAAAACGCAGCCUCAGCAAGUGCUGCUGGGAGGAAGUGGUCACUUCCUCCCAGCUCACUCCACGUGGGAGGAGCGCACGCCGGUGAAGAGGGAGAGCCACGCCAACCCCUAUCAUUCCCAGCCACCUUCCUGCAAAGAAAAGGUAAGAAACAGGAGGGUGACUGAAAAAUGAGCUCUGUGUGUGUGUGUG